CCACAGCCUUCUGUAGCGGUAGGUCGAGUACUCACGUUAGGCAGGCUUGUUAGCAGUUAUGGGACCCAAAGUGCCGGCAGUAGGAAUUGACCUGGGGACGACGUACUCGUGCGUCGGUGUCUGGCAGCAUGGUAAAGUGGAGAUUAUAGCCAACGACCAGGGAAACAGAACAACCCCUAGCUAUGUGGCCUUUACAGACUGCGAGAGGCUCAUCGGCGAUGCAGCCAAAAGCCAGGUGGCGAUGAACCCGAAGAACACAGUGUUUGACGCCAAGCGGCUCAUUGGUCGACGCUUCGACGACACCAAGAUUCAGGAGGACAUGAAGCACUGGCCUUUUGCUGUAGUCAAUGAUGGCGGAAAACCAAAAAUACAGGUUGAGUACAAGGGAGAGCUGAAGAAGUUUGCUCCCGAGGAGGUCAGUUCUAUGGUUCUCACGAAGAUGAGGGAGAUUGCUGAGACAUACUUGGGAGGAAAAGUGACUGACGCUGUGAUAACAGUGCCAGCCUACUUCAACGACUCCCAACGUCAAGCUACGAAAGAUGCCGGAGCUAUUGCUGGUCUAAAUGUACUCAGAAUCAUCAACGAGCCGACCGCUGCUGCUUUAGCAUACGGCCUUGACAAAAAUUUGAAGGGCGAGAAGAACGUCCUUAUCUUUGAUCUUGGGGGUGGAACAUUUGAUGUCUCUAUCUUGACAAUUGACGAGGGGUCCUUGUUUGAGGUCAAGUCUACAGCUGGGGAUACACAUCUAGGUGGAGAGGACUUUGACAACCGAUUGGUGACCCACUUUGCUGAUGAGUUUCAACGCAAGUUCAAGAAGGAUCUGAAGAACAACUCACGAGCGCUACGUCGCUUGAGAACUGCCUGUGAACGAGCUAAGAGAACAUUGUCUUCUAGCACGGAAGCAAGCCUUGAGAUAGAUGCUCUUCAUGAUGGUGUGGACUUUUACAGCAAGAUCACCAGAGCCAGGUUUGAAGAGUUAUGCAUGGAUCUGUUCCGGUCAACGUUGGCGCCCGUGGAGAGAGCCCUGGGGGACGCCAAGCUGGACAAAGGCCAGAUACAUGACGUUGUGCUGGUGGGCGGCUCUAUCAGAAUACCAAAAAUACAGAAGAUGCUGCAGGAUUUCUUCUGCGGCAAGCCCCUGAACCUCUCCAUCAACCCCGAUGAAGCAGUAGCGUACGGAGCCGCCGUGCAGGCGGCCAUCUUGUCUGGGGACACCAGCUCACAGAUACAAGAUGUUCUGUUGGUGGACGUUGCUCCGUUGUCUCUAGGUAUUGAGACAGCUGGGGGCGUCAUGACCAAGAUUGUGGAGCGCAACUCUCGUAUUCCAUGUAAACAGACGCAGACCUUCACCACAUACUCGGAUAACCAACCAGCCGUCACUAUACAGGUAUUUGAAGGAGAGCGUGCAAUGACGAAAGACAACAAUCUCUUGGGAACCUUCAACUUAGCUGGCAUCCCACCAGCACCCCGUGGAAUCCCCAAGAUAGAAGUGACCUUUGACCUAGACGCCAACGGCAUCCUCAACGUCUCGGCCAAGGAAAGCAGCACAGGCAAGUCAGAGAAGAUCACCAUCCAGAACGAUAAGGGCCGACUGAGCAAAGAAGAGAUUGAAAAGAUGUUGGCCGAAGCAGAAAAGUACAAGGCAGAAGACGAAAAGCAAAAGGAACGGAUCACAGCAAGAAAUCAGCUAGAGAGUUACACGUUCAGUGUGAAACAAGCGGGCGAAGAAGCAGGAGACAAACUGACGGCUGAGGAGAAGAAGAAGAUUGUGGACAAGUGUGCGGAGGUGACAUCAUGGCUAGACUCCAACAGUUUGGCGGAAACUGAUGAGUUCAAGGAUAAGUUGAAGCAGCUACAAGCCGAGUGUUCGCCGCUGAUGACCAAGUUACACCAGAGCGGAGGAAAAGGACCAACCGUCGAGGAAGUUGAUUGAAGCACUCAGAGUUCUACCUUAAGCAUUUAUCAUUUUAUACAUUUAUAUUCUAAUCAUCUCAUACAAUAUCAGCUUUAUUUAUUCCAUACGGAUUGUGUUAGAGCAAAGAAGAAGAUGCUCCAAGUCAGCUUCUGGCAAGAAAGGCACUUUAACAUUUGGCGCCGCUCUAUUGGAUUAUUGAGUCUACGAAAGCUUAAGAAGCUUUCAAACGUUGAUGUUACUUGAAGCACAUGGGCUUCUUUUGUGUAAGAGAUGCGAAGGAAAAUUUAAUUUUGAUGUAUGUUUAGUAUUUUCAUGUUAAGAUAAUAUUUUACACACGUUAAGGGGUAUUUAUUAGUCGAAUCUAGGAAUAUUAGAAUUUUAUUGACAUUAUUUUAUGCACCAGCCUAUUACUUACUAAAAUACGAUC